AACGCACAUUGCGCCCCUUGGUAUUCCAUGGGGCAUGCCUGUUCGAGCGUCAUUUGUACCUUCAAGCUUUGCUUGGUGUUGGGUGUUUGUCCUGAGGGACUCGCCUUAAAGUAAUUGGCAGCCAGUGUUUUGGUUUUGAAGCGCAGCACAAGUCGCGAUUCAAGGCUAUACGCCAGCUUCCACGAGCCUUUUUCACUUUUGACCUCGGAUCAGGUAGGGAUACCCGCUGAACUUAA
rnacentral:misc_RNA from 1 species